GGGCGCCGCCCAGGGCCAGCCUCGCCCCCCCUCCCCCCGCCGGGGGAGGAGGGGAAAGGGGGAGGGGGGAGAAGGGGAGGGGAGGAGGGGGGAGGAGGAAGACGGAGGGAGGAGGGAGAGGGAGGGAGGAGGAGGGGGAGGGAGGGAGAGGGAGGGAGGAGGAGGGGGAGGGAAGGAGGGGGAGGAGGGGGAGGAGGGAGAGGGAGGGAAGAGGGAGAGGGAGGGAGGGGGAGGGGGAGGGAAGGAGGGGGAGGAGGGGGAGGAGGGAGAGGGAGGGAAGAGGGAGAGGGAGGGAGGAGGGAGAGGGAGGGAAGAGGGAGAGGGAGGGAGGGGGAGGGGGAGGGAAGGAGGGGGAGGAGGGGGAGGAGGGAGAGGGAGGGAAGAGGGAGAGGGAGGGAGGGGGAGGGAAGGGGGGGAGGAGGGGGAGGAGGGAGAGGGAGGGAAGAGGGAGAGGGAGGGAGGGGGAGGGGGAGGGAAGGAGGGGGAGGAGGGAGAGGGAAGGAGAGAGGAGGGGAGGAGGGAAGGGGAGAGGGAGGGGGAGGGGGGAGGCUGGCGAGCGCUAGGUCCCAAGCGGGCGCAGAGGCGAGACCAGGCCGCGGCCACGCAGGCGGGGGUGAGGCCGCGGGCCCAGGGGGAGCCGUGGGCGGGAGGAGGCCGGCUCCCCAGUCCCGCCGCGCGCACCGCCCCCGCCGGGGUCGCCCCUCCCGUGACGGGUCGGCCCGAGGGCGGCGCGCCCAGGGCCCAGGAAACCCCGCCCGGGGACUGAGCCGCGUGCAGCUCGCUCGCUCGUUCAGUCUGAUGCAGCCAAGCCUCCUUUCGGCGAAGCAGGAGAAAAUCCAGUUUGGAAACCCGGAGGGCAGAGGACACGUUGUGGCCGUUGCAGGCGAUCAUUGCAAAAAUAAACACAGGUGCAGCCUGGGGCCCUUGCGGGAGGCUGCAGGUGGCUGCGGGAGAGCCACAUUUUACUCCCAAAGGGGGGGAGUGGGGGGGUGGGGGGGAGGGUGGUGGUGGUGGAGGAUCUCUUUUCAGAACCAGUUUCAAGGUGAAGAGUCUGGUUCACCUGAAUAAAAGAAGCUGGACUGAACUCAUCAAUAUUCAUGGUCUGCUAGGGACGCUAUACCAACAUUUCACGGAGGGUGGCUGGGGGGACGGGGUGCUGGGGGAGGUGGGGGGUGUGCCCUAAACAGCUGACAUUUACUUCUCACAGGUCUGGGGGCGGGGAAGUCCAGGAGCACCAUGCCAGGCCAAUUCCUGCUCUGGUGAGAGCUCCCUUCCAGGCUUGCCGCUGGCUGCCUUCUUGCUGCGUCCUCACAGGGCAGACAGAGCUCUGGUGUCUCCUCCUCUUAGAAGCACUUCAAUCCCACCUUGAGGACCCCACUCUCAUGACCUCAUCUAAACCUAAUUACCUCCCAAAGAGCCAGUCUCGGAAGACCAGCACACUGGGGAUUAAGGCUUUGUCAUAUGGAUUUGGGGUGGGGCAUGGCACGCGUCACUUGCAGCACUAUCUACACCGUAUUCCUACUUAUUCCUCUCUCCUAUGUUACCCACCUGUUCCUAUUAUUCCUAUUAUAUAUAUAUAUACCACCCAACCAUUAGUGGAUGACAAUAGGCAGCUAGACAAUAGUUCAUGAGUAAGUACAUAUAUCUAUAGCUACUUACAUAUAAAGAAACAUACGUAAAUAUAUAUAGAUAUUCAUUAUGGACUGUUGCCCAUUUGCCUAUUAUCUGUUAUUGUUGUUAUCCGCGGAUGGGUGGGUGGGCUACAUCUAUGUUGUCUAAUAGAACUUUCUGCAGGGAUAGAAAUAUUCCAAAUCUGUGCUCUUUAAUAUGGAAGUCAUUAGACAAAUGUGGCUGUUGAGACUUGACACGUGGCUAAUACAACUAAGGAAAUGAAUUGUAAAUUUUAUUGCGUUUUCAUUAUUAUAUUUCAGUUUAAAGAGCCACAUGGGUUACUGGCUACUGUAUUGGACAGUGCAGAGCUAGACCGAGGUGUAUAUACAGUUUCCUCUUUAUUCAAUUUUUUUUUUAAUUUUUUUUAUUUAUUUUAUGAUAGUCACAGAGAGAGAGAGAGAGGGGCAGAGACAUAGGCAGAGGGAGAAGCAGGCUCCAUGCACCGGGAGCCCGAUGUGGGAUUCGAUCCCGGGUCUCCAGGAUCGCGCCCUGAGCCAAAGGCAGGCGCCAAACCGCUGCGCCACCCAGGGAUCCCUCCUCUUUAUUCAAUUGAUUGGUUGUGUUGAGUUUGGAAA
rnacentral:lncRNA from 1 species